UGGCUGGGCUGGCUCAGAGCCUGGCCCUGCAUCUUAAUGGGGCGGUGAGCUCACAAGAUGGAUUUAGCUGGGGGUUUUAUGGUUGCCGCGGCGACAGGAGAAUGCUUUGGUUUUCUUUCCCCCUUCCUCUGCAGGAUUUUAAGGAGGAGGGAGGGUGGGGGAGCCCUCCUCUGCACUGCAGUUUCGAAGGGUCUCCUUAGUCACCUCUACAGCUCUUAAGAUGGGCCUGCAAUUCCAGGAGCAAGAGAGACCACAUUAGGACCUCAGGACAGGAUGAGGGAAGGAAGGUGCUGGGAGUGGGAAGAGCCUCUCCAGCAUCAAGUCAUGAAACCGAGUGGUCCAGUCUUGCCUGCUGUCUGCUGUGGGGCACCUGUGCCCAGAAUCCCCCUCAGCAGGGUCUCCGGAUCUAGUUGCUGGAUCUGUGUGGCGUGAUGACUCAGUAGAUGCCCCGCAGCUCCUCCCAUUCAGACUGACCCCAAAUACACUUAAAGGGAA